rnacentral:sRNA from 1 species
AUUUUCUGUGCUGCACGGUUAAGGAAUCUGCAUGCAAAUAGAGAGGUUCUUGGUUAGGAAACCAAAUUGGGGUUGGUGUGAGGGAGAGGGUGGGACUAAAUUGGGAUAAGAUUAGCAUGACAAAUUAGGAUGGUUGAGGUAUGUGGUGUUGUGUUUGGGUGCACAAGGAUACGUGGUUCGAUUGUCGGAUCCCAAACUUUCUCCUUGCCUAGAGAUGAUAGCUGGAGACUAGUUUUCCGAACAGAGGCAACAAUAACACGACCUAAACCAACAAAUGGACUCCCGUGUGGCUUAUCAAAUUUAUAGAAACGGUUUCCAGAGAAGAAAAUGGCCAUUCCGAUUAGGUUGGCGAUGACACAAAGGCCAAACCCCCAUUUAAAACCGACGUUGUCUUCAAUGUAGACAAUGACUGUUAGGGCUACCACUGUAAUAGAGUAUAGAGUGAAGA